rnacentral:rRNA from 1 species
UACGGAGGGUGCAAGCGUUAUCCGGAAUUACUGGGUUUAAAGGGUGCGUAGGCGGCUUAGUAAGUCAGGGGUGAAAGGUCACGGCUCAACCGUGGAAUGGCCUUUGAUACUGCUGAGCUUGAAUCAGGAUGAGGUUGGCAGAAUGUGGCAUGUAGCGGUGAAAUGCAUAGAUAUGCCAUAGAACACCGAUUGCGAAGGCAGCUGGCUAGACCUUGAUUGACGCUGAGGCACGAAAGCGUGGGGAGCGAACAGG